GGUUUGUGUUGCUAUGUGACCAGGGUUGGUCGCAUCCGUAUGGUUUAAAAUUGUGAAAAAUGAGCUAAAUGAACUCGAAAACUCGUGUAUUUAUUUUAGUGUUCAUUUUAGCCUGGCUUUCAGAGAGCAUGCUCAGAAUGAUAAGAGACAGUAUUCCAGAUUUAUUAUGAAUGUAAAAGAUUGUGUCACUAAAAAGCCAUACUAUAAAUACUAGUCAAUGUGGGUCCUGAUAAGAUAUACUAACACGUGUCUUAAAUGCAGGGAAAAUAAAGGUGAUUACGUACAUGUUAAUGUUUGCAUUAAAAAGUAAUUUUAUUGCCAUCCAAAAUAAUAGUGUAUGUGCUAAAAUACUAAAUGCAAUAAAAAAAUAUAUAAAUGGCAGCUUUGAAGCUUGUGAAAUUACUAUUUUCUUUGGUGCUGUGGUUUAUUCACAGUAGCAGUAGAGUCUAAAACAUGUUUUUCAAAGACUUACUGUAUAUAUUGUACAUACAAGCUAAAUUGGCUGGUAUGUUUUCUCCAAAUUAGAUAUUACACAUUACACAUACUGGGAAAUACCAAAUAUUGUCUACCUUGAAAAAAUGACAAAACCAUGGAAACCCUUUAGUUUUCGCUGAAAAGUGUUCUUAGUAAAAUUGUUUUUAAAAAAGUCCACAGACACAAACACACACUAAUACUGAAAAGGAGAGAGGGGAGGCCACUUCCUCUUCUUAUACUGUAGUGUAGCAGUGUCAGUGAUGCAAGGAAACCGUUGACAUGAAAGAAUGUUUCUCAAAAUUCAUGGGAAAAAAAUACUUCAACAAAAUUAAAACAAAAAUUCAAAAGCUGUUGUACAGACCUAGAAACAGUUUAAUUAAAAUAGACUGAAACCUAAACCAGUCGAGGCUACAUAAAAAGACAGGGCCACUGUUUUGGCAUAGUUUAUAUAAACUAAAAUCUGUUAUACUCUUACAAAAGUCUUAAUAACAAAAUACUUUUUUUAAUCUCAAAUUUUAGAAAAUGUUGCUCAGGCUUCUAGUUAACGUGGCUAUCUUGUUAACACACUCAUACUAAGUAAGUAAAUGUAUUAAUUUAAUGAGCCAUUUCUUUUUGUCGCUACAUCAUACAAGCUCUCUUGGACAGACCGGAUGUUUUAAGUUAGGCUCUUCCUUUCUGUGUAACUUCCAUUUUUGUUGUGUUUGGUUCAGUGUGUGUUUCGGAAGCUGCAGGAACCAAAACUGUCAUUCGGCUGCGGCUCUGCCAAUACAAUUAUGACUAGCUGUAUCCAGGCCAAAGAUGAACACAAUCACAAACAGAACCACUUUGGGACCCAUAUGACAACCCACAGCAGCAGAACACAACGGCGGAGUUGAUUCAAAAUACCAAGAAAUGAAUAGUGGAUUACAGGUGCGCAAUGACACAGACUGUAGCCUCACUUGUGAAAUUACCUGUGCAAAAUUUUAACUAUUUAACUAAAGAUUUGUCUUAUUUUUCUCUGUUAUUCUAGGAAAUUUUUAAGCAAACAUUAAGGUUUUUCACCAUCAUUACUUGGUUAUGGAUGUUAAAUUUUUCUUUGGGUUUUCCCCUUGGAAACUCUUGCUUGCUUUGUUGGUCAAUAAACUAAAGUGUUGGCAUUUUGUCUUAAACAAG